GGACGAGCGGUGGCAGGAUCUUUGACCUGCGGCAGCUAGCGGCAACUCCCACGGCCACGGAUUUGGACUCCCCCGGAACCAUUGAGGAGCUUGGCAAAUCUAUGAGGGCACCAACGAUGCUGCCGCAAACGGUGAUGCAACGGCGGAAGACGGGGCGUGCAGCCAUGUCGGGUCAAUGGAGGCUGAUGCAUCCCUGGCGGGCAUCAUGCAGGCGAUAGCUGCUGCAGGCGAUGGAGAUGGUGACGGGCAGGCUGAUUGACUCAGCACAGUGCACUGAAAUAAGACUGAAGCAACUUGGGAUUGGACUAAGAGACAAGGCCUUACGAGCAGAUGGAAGAGCUCCAGGAAAGACAGCAUCCGUUGCUUGCAGGCUUGCUAGGAAGGCAAGAGGUAAGAUCAUGUACAGUUGCAGGGUUUAUCUAGACGGCAGGGCAAGCACAAAACAUAUGAGUGGGUGGCCAGUUCAGCGGGGCAUUGUGUUCCGCAUGGAUGCCAGAGGUUAAGAGAGCUGAUUGUUGAGGAAGUUGGAGCAAGAUACAGGACGCCGUGAUCCAAGUGAUCUCAGGGAUGAAUGUGCCUCGUGGCGAUCGAGGCCAGAGGAACGCAAAGCAGCUAUCCUAGAUGAUAUUCUGCCAGGUGUGGAGGCACUGACAAAAUAACUGCUGCAGAAACUUGUGGCAUGUUUAUACCCACAAGCUCGUCGAUCUACAGCUGAUGGAGAUACAUGAGAUGUUUCGUGCCGCAUCGGGAUCAUCAGGCGAGGGCUAAGGAAUGCUGCGGGUAGCAGCCCAGGAUGUUAGGCUAAUUUGCAGUCAGAGAAGGAGAAGUAGCCCAUGGGGCCAGGAUGAUAAUUGGUCUUACAUUUGGGGAAAUGCUGAUUUCUCUUCUCAAAAAAGCUUACAUGGCUAUGAUUGGAUUUUCCGCCACUCCAAAAAAAUUCUCCAGAUUAUGGAAAUCCUCAUGUCAGGCCAAACACAAAUUCUUCUUCUGGACUAAAUACAAGAAAUUUACUAAGGAGAAAGAAUUUUCAACUACAAUCCUAUCAAUGUGUUGUAGCAAACUGCACUGAUGAAGAAACACUAGUACACUUGUUCUGGGCAUGUCCUUUGGCUGAACAGUGCUGGAACUUUAUAUGCCCACAGAGAAAUAGAAGACUGUCAAUUCUAGAAGCUUUUGAAGAUAUGAGGUCUAAAUUAAAGUUGCCUUUUGCAAUGGAUAUUCUGAUUAUGGCAGCUUGGGGCAUCUGGAUCGUCAGAAAUAACAAGAUCUUCAAAAAUCAAAAUGCUGAGCGUUCAGUAGUUAGAAAGCAAUUUAUUCUCAAGAGCUAAGAUUGUUAGUACACAGAAUGAAGAAAAAGCAUGCAAAUACUUUCAAAGAGUGGCUUCAAUCCCAAGUUUAGUUUAGUGUAGACUUUGUUUUGUUUUUUCUAAGAGUUACUCACUCUCCUUGUAAAUCUUUCUAUCCAUACUCUUAAACAUAAUAAAAAAUUGCAGUGGGUUUACCCCACUGUUUUACCUCAAAAAAAAGGAGGCAGAAGAAGAUGUUUGCAUGGGUGGUGAAGAUGACGCAGAUGAAGUAAUCCUAGGAGAAGAUUAUUACAACUCCAUCCUUACUAGGAUGUUCAAAGAACCAUCGUCUGCGGCAAAUGUUGGUGGGCAUGUUGGAAGUGAUGGACAUGGAGAGGCAAUGGCUACUAAUGCAAACACAGUGUUUCUAGCUAUGAUGCAACGGACUGAGAUGAAGGGGACUGCUGCAGGCCUAUCAUCAGAUUAAAUUUUAGCAAGACAAG